ACCAGGAUGGCCGAGUGGUUAAGGCUUUGGAUUUAAGAGCCAAUGUAUAAAUGUCCUUGUGUGUUCAAACCCCUCUCCUUCUA
rnacentral:tRNA from 1 species